rnacentral:rRNA from 1 species
GACGAACGCUGGCGGCGUGCUUAACACAUGCAAGUCGAACGGAAAGGCCCUGCUUUUGUGGGUUGCUCGAGUGGCGAACGGGUGUGUAACACGUGAGUAACCUGCCCUUGACUUUGGGAUAACUUCAGGAAACUGGGGCUAAUACCGGAUAGGAGCUCCUGCUGCAUGGUGUGGGUUGGAAAGUUUCGGCGGUUGUGGAUGGACUCGCGGCUUAUCAGCUUGUUGGUGGGGUAGUUGCUUACCAAGGCUUUGACGGGUAGCCGGCCUGAGAGGGUGACCGGCCACAUUGGGACUGAGAUACGGACCAGACUCCUACGGGAGGCAGCAGUGGGGAAUAUUGCACAAUGGGCGGAAGCCUGAUGCAGCAACGCCGCGUGCGGGAUGACGGCCUUCGGGUUGUAAACCGCUUUCGCCUGUGACGAAGAGUGAGUGACGGUAAUGGGUAAAGAAGCAACGGCUAACUACGUG